rnacentral:rRNA from 1 species
ACGCACGCUGGCGGCGUGCUUAACACCUGCCAGUCGAACGCUGAAGCUCAGCUUGCUGGGUGGAUGAGUGGCGAACGGGUGAGUAACACGUGAGUAACCUGCCCUCUUCUUUGGGAUAACGCCCGGAAACGGGUGCUAAUACUGGAUAUUCACUGAUUCUCGCAUGGGGGUUGGUGGAAAGGUUUUUUCUGGUGGGGGAUGGGCUCGCGGCCUAUCAGCUUGUUGGUGGGGUGAUGGCCUACCAAGGCUUUGACGGGUAGCCGGCCUGAGAGGGUGACCGGUCACAUUGGGACUGAGAUACGGCCCAGACUCCUACGGGAGGCAGCAGUGGGGAAUAUUGCACAAUGGGCGAAAGCCUGAUGCAGCGACGCCGCGUGAGGGAUGGAGGCCUUCGGGUUGUAAACCUCUUUCGCUCAUGGUCAAGCCGCAGCUUUGGGUUGUGGUGAGGGUAGUGGGUAAAGAAGCGCCGGCUAACUACGUG